rnacentral:misc_RNA from 1 species
AACGGUCUAUACCUGCGGUACCUGCGGAAGGAUCAUUAAUGAGAAGCUGCCCCUCGUGGGUAGACCUCCCACCCUCUGUGAACUUACCUUUGUUGCUUUGGCAGGCCCGUCCUCUGGACCGCCGGCUUCGGCUGGCCCGUGCCUGCCAGAGGAUUCCAAACCCUGUCUGUCAGUGUUGUCUGAGUCUAUAUGAAAUCGUUAAAACUUUUAACAAUGGAUCUCUAGAUCGGAAGAGCACAC